GACGAACGCUGGCGGCGUGCUUAACACAUGCAAGUCGAACGAGAGCGUAGAGAAAGCUUGCUUUUUCUACAAUCUAGUGGCAAACGGGUGAGUAACGCGUAAACAACCUGCCCUACGGAUGGGGACAACAGCUGGAAACGGCUGCUAAUACCGAAUACGUUCCGAAAGUCGCAUGACUAUCGGAAGAAAGGAUGGCCUCUAUUUAUAAGCUAUCGCCGGAGGAGGGGUUUGCGUCUGAUUAGCUAGUUGGAGGGUAACGGCCCACCAAGGCGACGAUCAGUAGCCGGUCUGAGAGGAUGAACGGCCACAUUGGAACUGAGACACGGUCCAGACUCCUACGGGAGGCAGCAGUGGGGAAUCUUCCGCAAUGGGCGAAAGCCUGACGGAGCAACGCCGCGUGAGUGAAGACGGCCUUCGGGUUGUAAAGCUCUGUUAUACGGGACGAAUAAUCUUGUGGUUAAUACCCAUGAGAAGUGACGGUACCGUAAGAGAAAGCCACGGCUAACUACGUG
rnacentral:rRNA from 1 species